rnacentral:lncRNA from 1 species
AACUCCCAAAAUCAAACCCAACCUUCCUUUUGUGGUCACAAACCUUGUGUUUAAAUUUCAUUGAUUUCUAUUUACUUAUACUAAAGUUAUUGUGCGAAAACCAAGAAUAAUGCUUAUUUGGGCCUUUUUUUGGCCCUUAAUUCCUAAACUGUUGGGACCAAAACUCCCAAAAUCAAUCCCAACCUUCCUUUUGUGGUCAUAGACCUUGUGUUAAAAUUUCAUUGAUUUCUAUUCACUUUUACUAAAGUUAGAGUGCGAAAACUAAAAGUAUUCGGACAACGACGACGACGCCAACG